UUAGUCUAGUGGUUAGGACACUAGGUUUUCAUCCUGGCAACACGGGUUCGAAUCCCGUAGG
rnacentral:tRNA from 1 species